GUAUGUUGACGUAUUCUGAAAGGGAUACUUCUUCGGACAAUAUACAAGGUGCUGCAUGGUUGUCGUCAGCUCGUGCCGUGAGGUGUCGGGUUAAGUCCCAUAACGAGCGCAACCCCUAUCAUUAGUUGCCAUCAGGUCAAGCUGGGGACUCUAAUGAAACUGCCUACGCAAGUAGUGAGGAAGGUGGGGAUGACGUCAAAUCAGCACGGCCCUUACGUCCAGGGCUACACACGUGCUACAAUGGCCGAUACAGAGGGCAGCUACCUGGUGACAGGAUGCAAAUCUCCAAAGUCGGUCUCAGUUCGGAUCGGAGUCUGCAACCCGACUCCGUGAAGUUGGAUUCGCUAGUAAUCGCGCAUCAGCCAUGGCGCGGUGAAUACGUUCCCGGGCCUU
rnacentral:rRNA from 1 species